GUUGUCCACGAUGUGCAGACACUUGUCGUAACACUUGUCUUAGCAGUAAGAACAAUAAAACAGAGCAUUAAAAACAUAUACUGAAAAGCAUAAACGACACACAUAAUUGUUAACCCAGUUCAGCCUAACAGCCUAAUCUGGGGGAUACCAAUCCAGGAGGAAAUUCACUAUCAGCAGUAUUAAUUCAGAGCUAAACUCACCCGUUUACAACUCCUCACUUAAUCCCUACCCAAUGACACUUCUACCUAGGAACUCCUAGAUAUGACACCCCGUCUCACUCCCCUCAACCUUACAACCAGUAAGGAUUUCAAUAACAACAUAAUGGAGACACUCUCCUUGACAAAGAUGAAGACACACUUCAAUGACAUUAACACCUAGCCAACGACUAAGUUCACAAU
rnacentral:lncRNA from 1 species